rnacentral:rRNA from 1 species
GACGAACGCUGGCGGCGUGCCUAAUACAUGCAAGUCGAACGAGAGCAACCGGUGCUUGCACUGGUCAAUCUAGUGGCGAACGGGUGAGUAACACGUGGGUAACCCGCCCAUCAGAGGGGGAUAACAUCCGGAAACGGAUGCUAAAACCGCAUAGGUCUUCGAACCGCAUGGUUUGAAGAGGAAAAGAGGCGCAAGCUUCUGCUGAUGGAUGGACCCGCGGUGCUUUAGCUAGUUGGUGAGGUAACGGCUCACCAAGGCCGUGAUGCAUAGCCGACCUGAGAGGGUGAUCGGCCACAUUGGGACUGAGACACGGCCCAAACUCCUACGGGAGGCAGCAGUAGGGAAUCUUCCGCAAUGGACGCAAGUCUGACGGAGCAACGCCGCGUGAGUGAAGAAGGUUUUCGGAUCGUAAAACUCUGUUGUUAGAGAAGAACAAGUGCUAGAGUAACUGUUAGCGCCUUGACGGUAUCUAACCAGAAAGCCACGGCUAACUACGUG